ACUGCCCCGCCCAAGCCCCGCCACUCAAAACAAAACUCAAGGACGUCCGGAACCGAAAACUCUCCCCGCGUUCGAUGUCUCUCUGACGACGAAGAUUCUACGCCGUCCGGCCAAUCACGUUCCACAACCGCAGCCGAGCCCCCGCUGACCUUGAACGGGAUUGGCCGGACGACAUAGAAUCUUCGUCGUCCGAGAGACAUCGAACGCGGGGUCUAUUAUGUUGGAGGGUCCGAGUUUGUCAACGUCUCCAUGGAAACCCAAUUUGACACGUGUGCUUUCAGCACGCUACUACCGGCCGUGAAACACCGCCCCAUUGACGCGGUACGAAUGCGACGAUGGCUACCAAAUGCUGCUGUCUUGACUCUGGUAUAAACAAAGCAAAAAAAAAUUCGCGUCAUUUUUUUUUUACAACGCAUUCUUAUGUACGGUAGGUAAUUCAAAAAUAAUAAUAAUGCGCUCAAAGAAUCGUGAUAGUGAUGCCAGUACCAACUUUGGUUGGGGGUGCCCAGAGCACCUUGGGGGUGCCCAACUCAGCAUUGGGGGUGCCCGGGCACCCCCAAAAGUAUACAAAUCGACACCUAUGACGAGUAGUCAUGGACAAAAAAGAAGAGACAGAAGAUUGCAUGCAGUAAGACACAAGUCACCCAACGGUCAACAGAGCUAUGCUGCAGCUCUUCAUAGUUCCGGUGGCUCUAACUGCAGAUCAUUGAGCGCCUUUCGGUCGACCUCUGACCUGUAGCUGCUGUCGAGGGGGCACCUAAGGCGGUUCGGCUGCUCGAGGACCGAGGGGUCUCCCGCCACGGAGACACAGAGAGGCGGUAUUACUGUCCGACCUUCCUGGAAGCCAUUACCGGCCACUGUAUCCGAGCACUCGCCCCAGAGGAGCACUCGCCAGCCCCGUCCGCCGCACCAGCUUUUCCAGGACGAACGACAACACGGGAGCUGUCGGGGCCGACGGACCGGCAUUGUGGCUCCGCCUGUCCGCCGGCGGCCCGUUUGUUGAUUCAGUCGCGGCACGACGAUCCUCCUCCCACCACGGAGCCCCGCGGCGCGACGACCGG